rnacentral:rRNA from 1 species
ACGGCUCAGUAACACGUGGAUAACCUGCCCUUGGGUCUGGCAUAACCCCGGGAAACUGGGGAUAAUACCGGAUAACGCAUAUAUGCUGGAAUUCUUUAUGCGUGAAAUGGAUUCGUCUGCCCAAGGAUGGGUCUGCGGCCUAUCAGGUAGUAGUGGGUGUAAUGUACCUACUAGCCGACGACGGGUACGGGUUGUGAGAGCAAGAGCCCGGAGAUGGAUUCUGAGACAUGAAUCCAGGCCCUACGGGGCGCAGCAGGCGCGAAAACUUUACAAUGCGGGAAACCGUGAUAAGGGGACACCGAGUGCCAGCAUCAUAUGUUGGCUGUCCGGGUGUGUAAAAUACACCUGUUAGCAAGGGCCGGGCAAGACCGGUGCCAGCCGCCGCGGUAACACCGGCGGCCCGAGUGGUGAUCGUGUUUAUUGGGUCUAAAGGGUCCGUAGCCGGUUUGGUCAGUCCUCUGGGAAAUCUGACGGCUUAACCGUUAGGCUUUCGGGGGAUACUGCCAGACUUGGAACCGGGAGAGGUAAGAGGUACUACAGGGGUGGGAGUGAAAUCUUGUAAUCCCUGUGGGACCACCUGUGGCGAAGGCGUCUUACCAGAACGGGUUCGACGGUGAGGGACGAAAGCUGGGGGCACGAACCGGAUUAGAUACCCGGGUAGUCCCAGCCGUAAACGAUGCUCGCUAGGUGUCAGGCAUGGCGCGACCGUGUCUGGUGCCGCAGGGAAGCCGUGAAGCGAGCCACCUGGGAAGUACGGCCGCAAGGCUGAAACUUAAAGGAAUUGGCGGGGGAGCAC